AUGGAAUCAAAUGUAUAAGUGUAAGUAUAGGUGAAACAAGCGAAUGAAUUUACGCCGUGGUUUGUCAACUAUUUUUUAGUUUGAUUACCAGUGAUAAACAAUCACGAAAUUUUUAUUCAUAAUGAUGAUAAUAAUAUGAAAAUAUAGUAUGUGGAGAAUAUACAAACUUCAAAGUGAUUUGUAUCACCUUUUGAGACGUGGUAGAAAACCAGUGGAAACCAAGAUAUCUAAUUAGUUUUUUUUUAACCUUUACUUUCCCAGUGGAAAAUAGGGCUUCAAGCUAGUGGCUCAAAUUUUCUGUAGCACUGUUUAGUUUUUAUAGGAUGGGAUUACUAGCCUCAUGCCCAACCUUUCCUCUUUACCAGUAUUAUUUCUGGUUUAGCGAGGUAAGGGAGUGUGUUGGUCACCGGAGAUCGAAUCUCGGACCAUGUGCAUGGUUGGCGAGCGUCCUAACCUCUGUGCCACCGACUCACUAUCUAAUUGGUGAUGCACAUGAAUGCAUUAACGAGAUUCCCACUGCCCCUAUAUAUUAUCUGGCGAAACCACAGACAAGGGAAAGAGCUUGGUAGAAUUGGUGAGGAAAGAAGACCUUGUUGAGCUUGACUUAAGUAAGACUUUGUGAGGAAACAUCAUGGAUGUGGAAUAGGUGGUAGCUGGGUGCUUCGGUGUCUGGUGACAGUGAUAUAACACCGCUGUCAUUGUUUCUCUACUUAUUCAGUGAAACGGGAACGAAAUGGUUUUGUGGUGUGAAGCAUAUACUGAUAUACAUGGUCUAACGCUGAGUGUGUUGGUGUCAUCGUUAUGUCAGAUAAGUCGAAGUGCAGAUUAGCGUGUUUGAGUCUUGAUGUGAUGUGUGACCCAUUAUGAAGACCAUGUCAGGCGGGGUGUUUGACAGGAGUGCUACAUCUGCCAAAUGGUAACAGGUUUAGGUUUAACUUUAGAAAACUUUGCUAAUAGGGUCACUGAAUCUGAGUGUAAAAACUGUUGUUUACGUCGAAUAUUAAAUUUGAAUCAACCCCGUAUAGCGAAUCACAAGCAAUCUCAACGAGUCUAUCAAUGGGGUUAUAGGCUCACACCAUUGAAAAAUUCACUUCUUGUGAACUUCUCUUUUCUCACUGCCCCUCUAACUAAUGGUUUCAAAUGUCAAAUAGUGUCAAAUCUCGAUCUGUGGAGUCAUUUGUAUUGACCGUUAGUCUAGGAACUUAAUUUCUCGUGAUCGCGAACACGCAUCAACAUGGUUAAAUAAAGCUGUCGUUAAAACUACCAACAGUCCUAUGUUGGACCACCUAAUUGAAACAGGCCAUAAAGCUAGCUAGCAUUAAACAGUCUUUCGCUAUCAUUUGUCGGG
rnacentral:ncRNA from 1 species